rnacentral:rRNA from 1 species
GACGAACGCUGGCGGCGUGCUUAACACAUGCAAGUCGAACGGAAAGGCCCUGCUUUUGUGGGGUGCUCGAGUGGCGAACGGGUGAGUAACACGUGAGUAACCUGCCCUUGACUUUGGGAUAACUUCAGGAAACUGGGGCUAAUACCGGAUAGGAGCUCCUGCUGCAUGGUGGGGGUUGGAAAGUUUCGGCGGUUGGGAUGGACUCGCGGCUUAUCAGCUUGUUGGUGGGGUAGUGGCUUACCAAGGCUUUGACGGGUAGCCGGCAUGAGAGGGUGACCGGCCACAUUGGGACUGAGAUACGGCCCAGACUCCUACGGGAGGCAGCAGUGGGGAAUAUUGCACAAUGGGCGGAAGCCUGAUGCAGCAACGCCGCGUGCGGGAUGACGGCCUUCGGGUUGUAAACCGCUUUCGCCUGUGACGAAGCGUGAGUGACGGUAAUGGGUAAAGAAGCACCGGCUAACUACGUA